UACGAAGGGUGCUAGCGUUGUUCGGAAUUACUGGGCGUAAAGGGCGUGUAGGCGGAUGAUCAAGCUAGAGGUGAAAGCCCAGGGCCCAACCCUGGAACUGCCUUUAGAACUGAUUGUCUAGAAUCCGUAAGGGGAGUGUGGAAUUCCUAGUGUAGAGGUGAAAUUCGUAGAUAUUAGGAAGAACACCAGUGGCGAAGGCGGCACUCUGGUACGGUAUUGACGCUGAGGCGCGAAAGCGUGGGGAGCAAAC
rnacentral:rRNA from 1 species